AUAAACGUCUGUGUUGUUUUAACGUUCCUUUUUUAGAGGUAACUGGCAAGUUUUAUUACAGGUCCAAUAAAAAGUAUUUAUGCGUGAUGCAUACAACAUUUUAUUACUUCUAUAAACUAUCAUUCAAUAGGAUUACAGUAUAGAAAUUGGUUUCAUGUAAAAUUAUUUUGAAUUAAACAUGUACAAUAACUUAUGAAAGUAAGUUAAUCACGACGACAUUUAUGAUAACUGAAAAGAUCAUGAAACCAGGUAAAAUUUUCACGAAAACAAAAAUGUAUCAUUAAGUUACUGAAGUAAAAUUCAAUUCUGUUUUAAAGCAGAUAUUAUUUACAUUGCAAAAACAUUCUUGUACACAAAAAUACUCCGGACAUAUUUUCCACCUUUAAUUUGAUCAAGGCGGACCUUGAAUUUAUUUACUAAAAUUUAUUAAAUAAAAUAUAUACAAAAACUAUAUUUUACCCUUUUGUACUGUAACUGAGUAGAAAAAUAGCGACAGUUUGCAUUUGUGAUCCAAUGGCCGAUAGAAAAGCUAUCUCUUUUAAUGUUUAAUUGACAUAAUUGGCAUAAUUGACACUGAUAUUUAAAUGUAUAUGAAAUAAGGUGAGAACAACUACAUAAGAAGAAAUGCGCAUCUCUUUCUUAUUAGAACAGAAAUAUUAAUUGCAAUAUUUAAUUGCAUUUCUUAUAUUGUGAAUUUGUGAUAUUAGCACAAAAUGAAUUACUGGCGAAGUAAAUUACAUUAAAUGAUUAAAUCAUUACUUUAACCUUUUGAUCACAAUACCGCAUGUUCACGCGGCAUAAUAAUAUCGUCUGCUUAUGACGCUACAACAACAACUUCGCGCUGAAGUUAAUUUUUCUUCCAAAUUAGUGGAAAUAAACCGUCUGAGAACGAAUCAAAUUUUUAUUUCACAAAAAUGAAAUAAAUAUCAUUCAAAAGAUAAAUUCAAUGAGAGUAGGAAAUGUUUUGCACCUAAGCUUUCAUAUCAAUGGUUUUAUACAAAAAAUGUUUUGAAGAAACGCAUGUAUGAGAUUUUUGCACAUUUCAUAUGGAAAAA